rnacentral:lncRNA from 1 species
GGUAGGAUCAUGUUUUAUUACACACUCAAAUGAAGCCUGGGCAGAUCUCUGAAUCACUUUGUACUGUGGCUGUUUAAUUAUCAUCGUUGGGUCUUUAACUUCCAGUUGUACUUCAUUUUGCGUCUUCCCUAAUUUAUUCCUUGCAACACAUGUGUAUGUGCCAGUACUAUCCUUCUGAGCCACUGGAAUUUCCAAGGUUCCGUUAUCAUGGAAAACAUAUUCAUUUCCUCGCAAGAUGCUACCUUUCACUCCCC